UAUUAAAGUGUCAGAAAAAUGUGUUGAAUUUAGGAUUCAACUAUGGGAAAAUUCCCCUUUAAUAA
rnacentral:tRNA from 1 species